rnacentral:rRNA from 1 species
UACGUAGGGGGCAAGCGUUGUCCGGAAUCAUUGGGCGUAAAGAGCGUGUAGGCGGCCCGAUAAGUCCGCUGUGAAAGUCCAGGGCUCAACCCUGGGAUGCCGGUGGAUACUGUCGGGCUCGAGUCCGGAAGAGGAGUGUGGAAUUCCUGGUGUAGCGGUGAAAUGCGCAGAUAUCAGGAGGAACACCGGUGGCGAAGGCGGAUCUCUGGGCCUUACCUGACGCUCAGGUGCGAAAGCUAGGGGAGCGAACAGG